rnacentral:rRNA from 1 species
GAUUUUAAUUGAAUGCUAAGAGAACGGAAGUCCAGAAAAAAACUUUUUUUAAAUUAAAAAUUGAAGUUUUUUUAAUUUGUGCAGAAACAAUUAUUUAUAUUAAAGACAAGAAGACCCUAUGAAUUUAUUAAAUUUUUAUUUAAUAUGUAAUUACUAUUAGAAAAAUUUUGGCUGGGGCGGCUAGAAAAUAUUAUAAACUUUUUAAAAAUAAAAUGAUCCAUUAUUAAUGAUUUUAUGUUAAAUACUCUAGGGAUAACAGCGUUAUAUUUUUUGAUAGAUCAUAUUGACAAAAAAGUUUGCGACCUCGAUGUUGGAUUAGGAUACUUUUUUAAUGAAGAUAUUAAAAAAAGAAGUUUGUCAACUUUUAAUUU